CAGUCGCCGCGGUAAAACGAAGGGGGCUAGCGUUGUUCGGAUUUACUGGGCGUAAAGGGUGCGUAGGCGGAUUGUUAAGUCAGGGGUGAAAUCCCGAGGCUCAACCUCGGAACUGCCUUUGAUACUGGCGAUCUUGAGUCCGGGAGAGGUGAGUGGAACUGCGAGUGUAGAGGUGAAAUUCGUAGAUAUUCGCAAGAACACCGGUGGCGAAGGCGGCUCACUGGCCCGGUACUGACGCUGAGGCACGAAAGCGCGGGGAGCAAACAGGAUUAGAUACCCCUGUAGUCCCUGUCUCUUAUAC
rnacentral:rRNA from 1 species